rnacentral:RNase_P_RNA from 1 species
GGAGUUGGUCAGGCGAUCGCUGUGUGACGUAUGUCACGCGGAGGAAAGUCCGGGCUCCACAGGGCAGAGUGCCAGGUAACGCCUGGGGGGUGUGAGCCUACGGAAAGUGCAGCAGAAAGUAUACCGCCUGGCGACUUGUCCUCAGGU